rnacentral:rRNA from 1 species
AGGAUGAACGCUGGCGGCGUGCUUAACACAUGCAAGUCACGGGGGCCCAGCAAUGGGCAACCGGCGAACGGGUGCGUAACACGUGAGCAACCUACCGAAAUGAGGGGGAUAGCCGGCCCAACGGCCGGGUAAUACCGCAUACGCUCGAGACCAGGCAUUUGGACUCGAGGAAACCUCCGGGGCAUUUCGAGGGGCUCGCGGCCUAUCAGCUAGUUGGUGAGGUAACGGCUCACCAAGGCGACGACGGGUAGCUGGUCUGCGAGGAUGGCCAGCCACAUUGGGACUGAGAUACGGCCCAGACUCCGUACGGGAGGCAGCAGUGGGAAUCUGCGCAAUGGCCUAACGGCUGACGCAGCGACGCCGCGUGAGGAUGACGCUCUUCGGAGUGUAACCCUUUGCCUGAGACGAAUUGACUAGUCUUUAGACGUUGAUUUUGACUUGUAAGUCGGGUAGAAUUAAGCACCGGACUAACGUCCGUAGCCAGCUACGCCGUACGGUAAUCGU